GAUGAACGCUGGCGGCGUGCCUAAUACAUGCAAGUCGAGCGAACAGACGAGGAGCUUGCUCCUCUGACGUUAGCGGCGGACGGGUGAGUAACACGUGGAGAACCUACCUAUAAGACUGGGAUAACUUCGGGAAACCGGAGCUAAUACCGGAUAAUAUAUUGAACCGCAUGGUUCAAUAGUGAAAGACGGUUUUGCUGUCACUUAUAGAUGUAUCCGCGCCGCAUUAGCUAGUUGGUAAGGUAACGGCUUACCAAGGCGACGAUGCGUAGCCGACCUGAGAGGGUGAUCGGCCACACUGGAACUGAGACACGGUCCAGACUCCUACGGGAGGCAGCAGUAGGGAAUCUUCCGCAAUGGGCGAAAGCCUGACGGAGCAACGCCGCGUGAGUGAUGAAGGUCUUCGGAUCGUAAAACUCUGUUAUUAGGGAAGAACAAAUGUGUAAGUAACUAUGCACGUCUUGACGGUACCUAAUCAGAAAGCCACGGCUAACUACGUG
rnacentral:rRNA from 1 species